CAGCACCUCAAGUGGUCAGGAUGAUUAUUGGGCCUAAAGCAUCCGUAGCCGGCUCUGUAAGUUUUCGGUUAAAUCUGUAUGCUCAACAUACAGGCUGCCGGGAAUACUGCAGAGCUAGGGAGUGGGAGAGGUAGACGGUACUCGGUAGGAAGGGGUAAAAUCCUUUGAUCCAUUGAUGACCACCUGUGGCGAAGGCGGUCUACCAGAACACGUCCGACGGUGAGGGAUGAAAGCUGGGGGAGCAAACCGGAUUAGAUACCCGAGUAGUCC
rnacentral:rRNA from 1 species